AAAAUCUUGUCAAAUUUAUUUCUAGACUGAAAGCAAUGUGUGAACACUAACAAAUGCCAUCUACCAUCCAAGCCACUGAUAUUCUUAUAGACUGCACCAUUGGCCUGAUGAGAAAUACAGUUUUAUACAUUCUCAAGGUUUACGACAUUAGAAUGCAAACAGGACAAUACACAUUUAUGAGAAGGGAGACAAAAAUGCAUGUUAUUUGUUAUUAAGAAUGUUUUCAACUAGAAAGUUCAACAUGUUCACAACAGUGAUUACAUUUGUUUUCAUUCUUUGUAGUGAUAAAGUAGUUCAUGAGACAAAAUUAAUACAAAUUUCAUACUAGGAAGUGAACUCAAACAGAAAGAUUAACUUUUGUUACCUUCCCUUGUCUUCUGCACUUUAGAAUUGAAAACAAACAAGGAACUAACAUUGUUUUAUAUGUUUCAAAUGUUCCAUCAUAUUUGACAAUUAUUACAUCCUAGCCUGAACCUCACUUAGGACAAUGGGGGAGAGGGGGGGAUGGCAGUGAAUAGAGUUCAAACCUGGGACCAUCUUAUUGACAGUCCAGGGCACAUAGCACACAAGACAGUCAUCUUUUUUUGUUUAAAUGAAAAUUUAAACAAAUAUACACUAUAACUAUGGAGACAUUGGGUUCCAUUAUUUCUAACAUUGGUUGCACCCAUACAGUCAAACAUUUAUUCUGGAAACAAAAAUGAUUGUGCUCUCAAGGAAACAACAUUGAA